GGCUCCAUAGUGUAGUGGUUAGCACAUCUGCUUUACAAGCAGAAGGUACUGGGUUUG
rnacentral:tRNA from 1 species